CCUACGGGGGGCUGCAGUGAGGAAUAUUGGUCAAUGGGCGAUAGCCUGAACCAGCCAUGUCGCGUGAAGGAAGACAGUCUUAUGGAUUGUAAACUUCUUUUGUCAGGGAAUAAAGUGAGUUACGUGUAACUUAUUGCAAGUACUUGACGAAUAAGGAUCGGCUAACUCCGUGCCAGCAGCCGCGGUAAUACGGAGGAUCCGAGCGUUAUCCGGAUUUAUUGGGUUUAAAGGGUGCGUAGGUGGACAAGUCAGUCAGUGGUGAAAGUUUGCAGCUUAACUGUAACAUUGCCGUUGAAACUUCUUGUCUUGAGUGCAAAUGAGGUAGGCGGAAUGGGUUGUGUAGCGGUGAAAUGCUUAGAUAUGACACAGAACUCCGAUUGCGUAGGCAGCUUACUGGGAUGCAACUGACACUGAGGCACGAAAGCGUGGGUAUCAAACAGGAUUAGAUACCCUGGUAGUC
rnacentral:rRNA from 1 species